UACGGGGGGGGCAAGCGUUGUUCGGAAUUACUGGGCGUAAAGGGCUCGUAGGUGGCCAACUACGUCAGACGUGAAAUCCCUCGGCUUAACCGGGGAACUGCAUCUGAUACUGGAUGGCUGGAGAUUGGGAGAGGGAUGCGGAAUUCCAGGUGUAGCGGUGAAAUGCGUAGAUAUCUGGAGGAACACCGGUGGCGAAGGCGGCAUCCUGGACCAACACUGACGCUGAGGAGCGAAAGCCAGGGGAGCAAACGGG
rnacentral:rRNA from 1 species